rnacentral:rRNA from 1 species
UACGGGGGGGGGGCAAGCGUUGUUCGGAAUUACUGGGCGUAAAGGGCGUGUAGGCGGCCAACUAAAGUCCGACGUGAAAUCCCUAGGCUUAACCUAGGAACUGCGUCGGAUACUGGAUGGCUUGAAUCCGGGAGAGGGAUGCGGAAUUCCAGGUGUAGCGGUGAAAUGCGUAGAUAUCUGGAGGAACACCGGUGGCGAAGGCGGUCUGCUGGGCGAGUUGCUGACA